GACGAACCGUGCAAACGUUGUUCGGAAUCACUGGGCUUAAAGGGCGCGUAGGCGGACCACCAAGUCAGGGGUGAAAUCCUGCGGCUCAACCGUAGAAGUGCCUUUGAUACUGGGUGGUCUCGAGGGAGGUAGGGGCGUGCGGAACUUCCGGUGGAGCGGUGAAAUGCGUAGAUAUCGGAAGGAACACCGGUGGCGAAAGCGGCGCGCUGGACCUCUUCUGACGCUGAGGCGCGAAAGCCAGGGGAGCGAAAGGG
rnacentral:rRNA from 1 species